AACAGGAUUAGAUACCCUGGUAGUCCAUGCCGUAAACGAUGAGUGCUAAGUGUUAGAGGGUUUCCGCCCUUUAGUGCUGCAGCAAACGCAUUAAGCACUCCGCCUGGGGAGUACGGUCGCAAGACUGAAACUCAAAGGAAUUGGCGGGGGCCCGCACAAGGGUGGAGCAUGUGGUUUAAUUCGAAGCAACGCGAAGAACCUUACCAGGUCUUGACAUCCUCUGACAACCCUAGAGAUAGGGCUUCCCCUUCGGGGGCAGAGUGACAGGUGGUGCAUGGUUGUCGUCAGCUCGUGUCGUGAGAUGUUGGGUUAAGUCCCGCAACGAGCGUAACCCUUGAUCUUAGUUGCCAGCAUUCAGUUGGGCACUCUAAGGUGACUGCCGGUGACAAACCGGAGGAAGGUGGGGAUGACGUCAAAUCAUCAUGCCCCUUAUGACCUGGGCUACACACGUGCUACAAUGGGCAGAACAAAGGGCAGCGAAGCCGCGAGGCUAAGCCAAUCCCACAAAUCUGUUCUCAGUUCGGAUCGCAGUCUGCAACUCGACUGCGUGAAGCUGGAAUCGCUAGUAAUCGCGGAUCAGCAUGCCGCGGUGAAUACGUUCCCGGCCUUGUACACACCGCCCGUCACACCACGAGAGUUUGUAACACCCGAAGUCGGUGAGGUAACCUUUUGGAGCCAGCCGCCGAAGGUGGGACAGAUGAUUGGGGUGAAGUCGUAACAAGGUAACC
rnacentral:rRNA from 1 species